AUCCUCUCGGGGUCGCAUCUGGUGAGUUUCCACUACUUUACCAGUCUCAGCUAUGGGAGGGAGAGUCAAGCAAAGGCCUACCCAUUCCAUUCCCAGCUUGGACAGAUGCUAGCGAGUGGAAGGCAAUCUGCUACAAGU